rnacentral:tRNA from 1 species
UCCGGGAUGGUGUAGCGGUAGCACAACUGGUUUUGGUCCAGUGAGCCGGGGUUCGAACCCUCGUCCCGGAGCCU